AUUGAACGCUGGCGGCAGGCUUAACACAUGCAAGUCGAGCGGGGUGAUGGUGCUUGCACUAUCACUUAGCGGCGGACGGGUGAGUAAUGCUUAGGAAUCUGCCUAUUAGUGGGGGACAACAUCUCGAAAGGGAUGCUAAUACCGCAUACGUCCUACGGGAGAAAGCAGGGGAUCACUUGUGACCUUGCGCUAAUAGAUGAGCCUAAGUCGGAUUAGCUAGUUGGUGGGGUAAAGGCCUACCAAGGCGAAGAUCUGUAGGGGGUCUGAGAGGAUGAUCCGCCACACUGGGACUGGUACACGGCCGAGACUCCUACGGGAGGCAGCAGUGGGGAAUAUUGGACAAUGGGGGGAACCCUGAUCCAGCCAUGCCGCGUGUGUGAAGAAGGCCUUAUGGUUGUAAAGCACUUUAAGCGAGGAGGAGGCUCUUUUGGUUAAUACCCAAGAUGAGUGGACGUUACUCGCAGAAUAAGCACCGGCUAACUCUGUGCCAGCCGCCGCCGUAA
rnacentral:rRNA from 1 species